UGGGGCGUAGUCUAACGGCAGGACCCAGGCCCUUGGAGCCUGUUGUGAAGGUUCGAAUCCUUCCGCCCCAG
rnacentral:tRNA from 1 species